UGUCUGUCUGUCUUUUUAAAAAGACUUUUAGUAUGUUUCUCUCCUAACUACUCUAAACAAAGAACCAUAGUUAAAAUUUCUGUUUUCCAAGCA